rfam:Gregarina niphandrodes unplaced genomic scaffold scaffold00014, whole genome shotgun sequence.
GUGUGGAUGCCCGAGAGGUUAAGGGGGGAGACUUAAGAUCUUCUGACGAAAGUCGCGUGGGUUCGAACCCCACUCCGCACA